AGUGAACGCUGGCGGUAGGCCUAACACAUGCAAGUCGAACGGCAGCACAGUAAGAGCUUGCUCUUACGGGUGGCGAGUGGCGGACGGGUGAGGAAUACAUCGGAAUCUACUUUUUCGUGGGGGAUAACGUAGGGAAACUUACGCUAAUACCGCAUACGACCUACGGGUGAAAGCAGGGGAUCUUCUGACCUUGCGCGAUUGAAUGAGCCGAUGUCGGGUUAGCUAGUUGGCGGGGUAAGGGCCCACCAAGGCGACGAUCCGUAGCUGGUCUGAGAGGAUGACCGGCUCCACUGGAAUUGGAACACGGUCCAGACUCCUACGGGAGGCAGCAGUGGGAAAUAUUGGACAAUGGGAGCAAGCAUGAUCCAGCCAUGCAGCGUGGGUUAAGAAGGCAUUGUGGUUGUAAAGCCCUUUUGUUGGGAAAGAAAAGCAGCAGGUUAAUACCCCGCUGUUCUGACGGUACCCAAAGAAUAAGCACCGGCUAACUUCGUG
rnacentral:rRNA from 1 species